rnacentral:tRNA from 1 species
GCGGACCAUGGUCGAGAGCGGGCAAUGGCUGCUGCCUCACCGCGGCGUGGAGUUGUACGCGGAAAAGCCGCCGGUCUUCAUGUGGCUGCAGGCCGCU